rnacentral:rRNA from 1 species
AGAUUGAACGCUGGCGGAAUGCUUUACACAUGCAAGUCGAACGGCAGCACGGGGGUAACCCUGGUGGCGAGUGGCGAACGGGUGAGUAAUACAUCGGAACGUGCCCAGUCGUGGGGGAUAACGUAGCGAAAGCUACGCUAAUACCGCAUACGAACUCUGGUUAGAAAGCGGGGGACUCGCAAGAGCCUCGCGCGAUUGGAGCGGCCGAUGGCAGAUUAGGUAGUUGGUAGGGGUAAAGGCUCACCAAGCCUGCGAUCUGUAGCUGUCUGAGAGGACGACCAGCCACACGUGGGACUGACGACACCGGCCAGACCUCCGACGGGAGCA